rnacentral:snoRNA from 2 species
CCCCUCUCAGGGUCACACCUGGAGAGUUCCCAGUACUCUACCAGUCUCGACUACAGGAGGGAAAAUGAGGCAGAGGCAUAUCCAUUCCAUUCCUAGCUUGGGCAGUGGCUAGCAAGUGGAAGGCCAUCUGCUACAAGU